UCAAGCCUACCGCGUUGGUGACUACCAAUAUUGUUUGUUGAUCUAUGCUUGAGCUAAUUGGGAAGCCGAUUAAGUUCUCGCGGCAGUAAACCGAGCUUGUACUCGGAAACGAAAGCUGAGAGCUGUUCUUCCCCCCUGGAUUUUCCAGGUCAGAAGCUGAGGUAAGACGGCGUGGCGGGUGCA
rnacentral:other from 6 species